rnacentral:rRNA from 1 species
UACCUGCAGCUCGAGUGGUAACCGCUAUUAUUGGGCCUAAAGCGUCCGUAGCCGGUUUGGUAAACAUCUGGGUAAAUCGUGAGGCUUAACUUCACGAAUUUCGGAUAGACUGCCAGACUUGGGAUCGGGGGAGGUCAGAGGUACUCCAGGGGUAGCGGUGAAACGUUGUAAUCCUUGGAGGACCACCGGUAGCGAAGGCGUCUGACUAGAACGAGUCCGACGGUGAGGGACGAAGCCCUGGGGCGCAAACCGGAUUAGAUACCCGGGUAGUCCAGGGUGUAAACAAUGUGGGCUUUGUAUUGGAGGUCCCACGUGGGCGUCCAGUGCAGAAGAGAAGUUGUUAAGCCCACCGCCUGGGAAGUACGGUCGCAAGGCUGAAACUUAAAGGAAUUGGCGGGGGAGCACAGCAACGGGAGGAGCGUGCGGUUU